UACGUAGGGGGCAAGCGUUGUCCGGAAUCAUUGGGCGUAAAGAGCGUGUAGGCGGCUCGGUAAGUCCGCUGUGAAAGUCCAGGGCUCAACCCUGGAAUGCCGGUGGAAACUGUCGGGCUAGAGUCCGGAAGAGGCGAGUGGAAUUCCUGGUGUAGCGGUGAAAUGCGCAGAUAUCAGGAGGAACACCAAUGGCGAAGGCAGCUCGCUGGGACGGUACUGACGCUGAGACGCGAAAGCGUGGGGAGCAAACAGG
rnacentral:rRNA from 1 species